AUUGAACGCUGGCGGCAGGCCUAACACAUGCAAGUCGAGCGAGCGGCGGACGGGUGAGUACUGUCUGGGAAACUGCCUGAUGGAGGGGGAUAACUCCUGGAAACGGUAGCUCAUACCGCAUACCAUCGGAUGUGCCCAGAUGGGAUUAGCUAGUAGGUGGGGUAAAGGCUCACCUAGGCGACGAUCCCUAGCUGGUCUGAGAGGAUGGCCCGCAACACUGGAACAGAGACACGGUCCAGACUCCUACGGGAGGCAGCAGUGGGGAAUAUUGCACAAUGGGCGCAAGCCUGAUGCAGCCAUGCCGCGUGUAUGAAGAAGGCCUUCGGGUUGUAAAGUACUUUCAGCGGGGAGGCGUUACCCGCAGAAGAAGCACCGGCUAACUCCGUGCCAGCAGCCGCGGUAAUUC
rnacentral:rRNA from 1 species